rnacentral:rRNA from 1 species
GGUAAACGCUGACAGAAUGCUUAACACAUGCAAGUCGAGCGCCCCGCAAGGGGAGCGGCAGACGGGUGGGUGACGCGUGGGAAUCUACCUUUUGCUACGGAAUAACUCAGGGAAACUUGUGCUAAUACCGUAUGUGCCCUUCGGGGGAAAGAUUUAUCGGCAAAGGAUGAGCCCGCGUUGGACUAGCUAGUUGGUGGGGUAAAGGCCUACCAAGGCGACGAUCCAUAGCUGGUCUGAGAGGAUGAUCAGCCACACUGGGACUGAGACACGGCCCAG